GGAGCUUGCUCCACCGGAAAAAGAAGAGUGGCGAACGGGUGAGUAACACGUGGGUAACCUGCCCAUCAGAAGGGGAUAACACUUGGAAACAGGUGCUAAUACCGUAUAACAAUCGAAACCGCAUGGUUUUGAUUUGAAAGGCGCUUUCGGGUGUCGCUGAUGGAUGGACCCGCGGUGCAUUAGCUAGUUGGUGAGGUAACGGCUCACCAAGGCCACGAUGCAUAGCCGACCUGAGAGGGUGAUCGGCCACAUUGGGACUGAGACACGGCCCAAACUCCUACGGGAGGCAGCAGUAGGGAAUCUUCGGCAAUGGACGAAAGUCUGACCGAGCAACGCCGCGUGAGUGAAGAAGGUUUUCGGAUCGUAAAACUCUGUUGUUAGAGAAGAACAAGGAUGAGAGUAACUGUUCAUCCCUUGACGGUAUCUAACCAGAAAGCCACGGCUAACUACGUGCCAGCAGCCGCGGUAAUACGUAGGUGGCAAGCGUUGUCCGGAUUUAUUGGGCGUAAAGCGAGCGCAGGCGGUUUCUUAAGUCUGAUGUGAAAGCCCCCGGCUCAACCGGGGAGGGUCAUUGGAAACUGGGAGACUUGAGUGCAGAAGAGGAGAGUGGAAUUCCAUGUGUAGCGGUGAAAUGCGUAGAUAUAUGGAGGAACACCAGUGGCGAAGGCGGCUCUCUGGUCUGUAACUGACGCUGAGGCUCGAAAGCGUGGGGAGCAAACAGGAUUAGAUACCCUGGUAGUCCACGCCGUAAACGAUGAGUGCUAAGUGUUGGAGGGUUUCCGCCCUUCAGUGCUGCAGCUAACGCAUUAAGCACUCCGCCUGGGGAGUACGACCGCAAGGUUGAAACUCAAAGGAAUUGACGGGGGCCCGCACAAGCGGUGGAGCAUGUGGUUUAAUUCGAAGCAACGCGAAGAACCUUACCAGGUCUUGACAUCCUUUGACCACUCUAGAGAUAGAGCUUCCCCUUCGGGGGCAAAGUGACAGGUGGUGCAUGGUUGUCGUCAGCUCGUGUCGUGAGAUGUUGGGUUAAGUCCCGCAACGAGCGCAACCCUUAUUGUUAGUUGCCAUCAUUUAGUUGGGCACUCUAGCAAGACUGCCGGUGACAAACCGGAGGAAGGUGGGGAUGACGUCAAAUCAUCAUGCCCCUUAUGACCUGGGCUACACACGUGCUACAAUGGGAAGUACAACGAGUCGCGAAGUCGCGAGGCUAAGCUAAUCUCUUAAAGCUUCUCUCAGUUCGGAUUGUAGGCUGCAACUCGCCUACAUGAAGCCGGAAUCGCUAGUAAUCGCGGAUCAGCACGCCGCGGUGAAUACGUUCCCGGGCCUUGUACACACCGCCCGUCACACCACGAGAGUUUGUAACACCCGAAGUCGGUGAG
rnacentral:rRNA from 1 species